AUGUUUGUGGGCAAGACAGACAAGGAGAAAGAGGAAGGGACAAAGCAAACGCUAGCGGCGGUGGAGACGCUAGAGGGGGCCUUGAGGGAAUGCUCCAAGGGGAAGCCGUUCUUUGGAGGAGACAACGUCGGCUAUGUUGAUGUUGUGUUGGGUGGUAUGGUUGCAUGGAUGCAAGGGACCAUGGCGCUUUGUGGUGUGGAGCUCCUUCACGCCACCAAGACUCCGCUUCUGCUGGCAUGGAUUGAGCGCUUUGGAGAACUCGAACCUGCUAAGGUGGUUCUGCCAAAAGUCGAUAGGCUGGUUGACUUUGCAAAGAUGAAACGUGCCCAAAGAACUCUAAUCUAA
rnacentral:rRNA from 1 species